rnacentral:rRNA from 1 species
UCGGGUUUGGUGACUGGGACGAAGUCGUAACAAGGUAGCUGUACCGGAAGGUGCGGCUGGAUCACCUCCUUU